rnacentral:snoRNA from 1 species
CGCCAUGUACUAUGGCGCCUUGGCGGGCCGCGUUCACUCUCACACCACGUGAUGAGCAUGUGGAGAGAGGAAAGCUUGGGACCAUUAAGAACUCGGAUGGAACUUUCAUGAUAUCCGGGUGUCAGAGGGUCCCCACAGUG